rnacentral:rRNA from 1 species
CUACGGGCGGCUGCAGUGGGGAAUAUUGCACAAUGGGCGCAAGCCUGAUGCAGCCAUGCCGCGUGUAUGAAGAAGGCCUUCGGGUUGUAAAGUACUUUCAGCGGGGAGGAAGGGAGUAAAGUUAAUACCUUUGCUCAUUGACGUUACCCGCAGAAGAAGCACCGGCUAACUCCGUGCCAGCAGCCGCGGUAAUACGGAGGGUGCAAUCGUUAAUCGGAAUUACUGGGCGUAAAGCGCACGCAGGCGGUUUGUUAAGUCAGAUGUGAAAUCCCCGGGCUCAACCUGGGAACUGCAUCUGAUACUGGCAAGCGUGAGUCUCGUAGAGGGGGGUAGAAUUCCAGGUGUAGCGGUGAAAUGCGUAGAGAUCUGGAGGAAUACCGGUGGCGAAGGCGGCCCCCUGGACGAAGACUGACGCUCAGGUGCGAAAGCGUGGGGAGCAAACAGGAUUAGAUACCCGGGUAGUC